CAAUAGGUGGUUUAAUUUAGAAUCCCGGUUUUGGGGACCGGGGAUGGGAGUUUGAGUCUCUCCCUUUUGA
rnacentral:tRNA from 1 species